rnacentral:rRNA from 1 species
GCAGACGGGUGAGUAACGCGUGGGAACGUGCCCUUUGGUUCGGAAUAGCCCCGGGAAACUGGGAGUAAUACCGAAUAAGCCCUACGGGGGAAAGAUUUAUCGCCGAAGGAUCGGCCCGCGUCAGAUUAGCUAGUUGGUGAGGUAAUGGCUCACCAAGGCGACGAUCUGUAGCUGGUUUGAGAGGAUGAUCAGCCACACUGGGACUGAGACACGGCCCAGACUCCUACGGGAGGCAGCAGUGGGGAAUCUUGGACAAUGGGCGAAAGCCUGAUCCAGCCAUGCCGCGUGAAUGAUGAAGGCCCUAGGGUUGUAAAAUUCUUUCAGCGGGGAAGAUAAUGACGGUACCCGCAGAAGAAGCCCCGGCUAACUCCGUGCCAGCAGCCGCGGUAAUACGGAGGGGGCUAGCGUUGUUCGGAAUUACUGGGCGUAAAGCGCGCGUAGGCGGACCAGCCAGUCAGAGGUGAAAGCCCAGGGCUCAACCCUGGAAUUGCCUUUGAUAC